AUUGAACGCUAGCGGGAUGCCUUACACAUGCAAGUCGAACGGCAGCACGGACUUCGGUCUGGUGGCGAGUGGCGAACGGGUGAGUAAUGUAUCGGAACGUGCCUAGUAGCGGGGGAUAACUACGCGAAAGCGUGGCUAAUACCGCAUACGCCCUACGGGGGAAAGCAGGGGAUCGCAAGACCUUGCACUAUUAGAGCGGC
rnacentral:rRNA from 1 species